rnacentral:rRNA from 1 species
UACGUAGGGUGCAAGCGUUAAUCGGAAUUACUGGGCGUAAAGCGUGCGCAGGCGGUUUUGUAAGUCUGUCGUGAAAUCCCCGGGCUCAACCUGGGAAUUGCGAUGGAGACUGCAAGGCUAGAAUCUGGCAGAGGGGGGUAGAAUUCCACGUGUAGCAGUGAAAUGCGUAGAGAUGUUGAGGAACACCGAUGGCGAAGGGCAGCCCCCCUGGGCUAACACUGACGCUGCAGGCACGAAAGCGUGGG